UGCCCCUACUGAAGGGGCGGCACUGGCACCAGAAUUGGGAGGCACUGAGGGGAUGCAAGUGACCUGGGCAUGGAGGACCCUGCCAAAGCCAUGCUCGAGUGUCGUUUAAAGAGGCCGGAGGUAGAGCAGGUUGAAAGUUCACUGUGAGGUGCAGGAGAGGAGGAAGUUGGAGAUGAAGAGUAAUACUAUAAAUAUUGUAUGAAUAUCAUAAGUAAAGAGAAGGGGGUGGGCGAUGGAGGGGCAUUGUCAGUGGAGGCUUUCUUUUUUUUAAUUGUUAUUUCCCCAACACAAUUUUUUUUUCCCCACUGUACAGCAUGGUGACCCAGUUACACACACAGGUGUACAUUCUAUUUUCUCCCAAUAUCAUGCUCCGUCAUAAGUGACUAGACAUAGUGCCCAGUGCUACACAGCAGGAUCUCAUUGCUAAUCUAUUCCAAAAGCAAUAGUUUUCAUCCAUUAACCCCAAGCUCCCAAUCCAUCCCACUCCCUCCCCCUCCCCCCAGGCAACCUAUUCUCCAAGUCCAUGAUUUUUCUUUCUGUGGAAAGGUUCAUUUGUGCUAUAUAUUAGAUACCAGAUAUAAGUGAUAUCAUAUGGUAUUUGUCUUUCUCUUUCUGACUUACUUCACUCAAGAUGAGAGUCUCUAGUUCCAUCUGUGUUGCUGCAAAUGGCAUUAUGCCAUUCUUUUUUAUGGCUGAGUAGUAUUCCAUUGUGUAUAUAUACCACAUCUUCUUAAUCCAAUCGUCUGUCAAUGGACAUUUGGGUUGAGGCUUUCUUUAGGAAGCAGAAGGUUUUGCCCUCGUUACUGGUCAAGUGGCAGAAGCCCAAGCAGAGAGAAAGGUUGGUGUUUUGAAGGAGAGGGACCCAGGCCCAGAUGGAGGGCAUGGCUUGGGGAAGAACAAGCAUAGAGAAGUGGACAGGUAUGGACGCCCGCUGAGGCUCCCCCACUCCUUACCUCAUUUAUUUACUUAUCCCAGACUCAAGGGAUCGCGUGCUUUGGAUGAGGAAAUUCAAGAUCGGAACAGACUGAGGGACCUGCCCACAUUCCCAGACAGAAAGCGAGCAGGCUGGAACCAGACCCACGUCUGCGGACCCUGGAGCCUGUGUGUGCACUUCCUGCCUGCUGGCUGUGCUGCCGCUACCUCUGCGAGUUGAGGGAGGCGGAAGACAUGAAGGGGACAGGGAAGCGAGGAGGCUUGUUGCUGGGAGAGACAAAGAAGAGCUGGGGAGGGCAGCUCGGGAGCGGCUGGUAUGGGAGAUUUUCCACCGGCAGGCGCCUGGGGAGCCUGGCCAAGGCACUCAAGGCCAGGCUGACCAGGAGCAGGGCUCAGAGCCCAGCCAGGAACAGGGGCCGCACAUGUGGGGCUGGAGGUGAGAGGCCGGGGCACUGCCUGGUCUCUUCUCUCAGUCAGGUCAGGAUGAUGACGUGUGCGAUUCUAAGGAUGCACGUGACUAUGUACCUAGAAGGUGUGUGGGUUUCUGUGUUGGGGGAGCGAGAGUGUGCGUGUGUGGGUGUAUGUGUGAGCGGAUGUGACUGUGUGUAUGUGUGUGACUGAGCACACGGAAGGCGUGUGAAUAUGUGUGCGAGUGAGCCAGGGAUGGCGAGUCCGUGGUGGGGCAGCGUGAGUGUGUGUAAGCUGUGUGGGGUGCAUGCAUGUGCUUGGUAAGUGGGGAGGAACAAGUCAUCACCCCUUUGGCACAUGCACGUAGGAGAGGAAGAUGCCCUGGGAUCUUGUAAGAAAAAGCUCUUAGUCCUGGGGUUGGGGGCAGUGAUAAGGGCUUUCAAAGAAGCACUUCCUGGACGUGAGCAUCACCUUUGUGCCCUCCUGGUGCCCACCUCAGUGUGGGACACUGUGCCUUUAAGGAGGCCUCACCCACAGGGAAGGACCCUCCCGUAGCCCUGCCCCAGGAGUGGAACUGCUGGGAGCCUCAGACCCAAGUUGGGGUACACAGGCCUGACACCAGUCCAGGCCCCAGGUCUCACCUUUUAUAACUCCACUUGGCCAUGACCUUCAAUGCUCAUUCAAACCCCCUGGGAUUUGAUGAUUCCAGCUGUGCUAUGCCCCUUCCUCACACUAGCUUACCCCAUCUGGAGCCAGCUAAUAACAGCGGACUCUUACAAUGAGCCACACAUAGUUCUAAGCAUCACACUCACGUUCACCACCACUCUUAGGAGUGGGUACUACUGUUAUUGCCAGCCCAGUUCUACAGUCGAGGAGACAGAGGCACAGAGGGGUCAAGUAAUUUACCCAAGGUUAGAUAGCGGGAGAGCUGGGAUUUAAACCCAUGCAUUCCAGAAUCGGAGUCCACGUUCUUAUCUAUAUGCUAUGUUGCCUUUCAAAGCAAAAAUCUCACUUGGCUUCACAGAUGUCAAGACAGAUUCCUUCACCAUUCACUGCAUUUUUGAAAGCCACCAUACUUUCAGAGCUUACUAUAGAUACACAGUAAUAUAUAUAUAUCUUAUCUAUAUAUAAGAUGAAUAUAUAUUUAUAUGUACACACACACACACACAUAUAUACACACACACUUACCUUUCAUCUUUUUAGGGCUGCACCCUCAGCAUAUGGAAGUUCCCAGGCUAGGGGUCGAAUCAGAGCUGUAGCUGCCGGUGCAGGAUCCAAGCUGUGUCUUUGACCUACCCCCACAGCUCACGGCAACGCUGGAUCCUUAACCCACAGAAUGAGGUCAGGGAUUGAACCUGCGUCCUCAUGGAUACUAGUUAGAUUUGUCUCUGCUGAGCCACAAUGGAACUCUUGAGAUCUUGCUAUAUAAUGACACUGUUAAAGCCUUUACUCAUCAAACCAAUUUUUAUAAAGUGCCAACUAUGGGCUAGAGAGGGUCCUAGGUGUUGAGAAGACAGUAGUGAACAAAAUACACAAUUUUUCUACCCUAGUUAUAACUGAGUGGGGAUGCACAUGAUAUAUAAUGAAGCCAAUAAAUAUACAAUAUAAUAUUAGAUGGCGAUAAAUGCUAUUUGUCUCACUUGAUACUUACCCUAUCUUUAAGUAUUAGGUAUUAUUAUGCCUAUUAUUUUUAUAGAUGCAGAAACAGAGGCUCAGAGAGAUUAGUAAAUAUAGCUAAAGUCACAAAGUUAGCAAAUUUGAACUUGGUUUUGGAUUCAAAUCCAGGUAUCUUCAGCUCUGAAGCUAAAAUUCUUAGCCAUCAUGUAUUCAGGCCAUUGUCAAAGAAUGAAAAACUACUUUCAUUUACCUUUAUUUCCUCUCUCUUUUCUUCCGUCAACCCUGCUUUGACAAAAAAAGCAAGGGGGGGGGUCCUAGAAUCUGAGGACUGGUGGGACAAUACCCUGGGUCAGCUCCUGAGGUCACCUGGCCAUUCUCCUAUCCUGGGGAGGGGCUAUCCUCCUACUUAGGUAGAAACUGUCUUGUCCCAUUCUGAACGAGAAAGUCAUGCAGAACCGCAUCAAUAAGAGGUCUCUCUGACAUGAGAACUUCUUUUGUUUAUUUUUCGUUCCUCCUCUUGGGCUGACAAAUGCAUUCACGUAAAGACAGAAAAGAGAGCUGAGCCAUUUGUCACAGUAAUAUCUUCCCUUCUGGCCUUCAUAAUGAAUUGUGGAAGUUAAGGUUAAUCAAUCAUUUCCAUAACAGUUUCUAUGGAGGCUUCUUUUUCAAAGGCCCCAAACUGGAUGCUUGGAUGGACUGUUUCCAGGGACCAUACGCGCACACAUGCAAACCCCAGUGCUCCUCGGCUGUGGGAGAGAAUGACAUUGACUAAGCGUCCAUGUCAGGCACCAAGCUGGCUGCUUUGGAUAUGUUCUCCCAUCUUCUCCCAGUGAUGUUCCCACAUCCUGGGAGGUUGGGUUUCCUCCCCUUUACAGGUGACCCUGUGGGGAUGCAACUGGAUGAGGUCCAUCGGGUGUGGGGACAGGACUUUGAUGUGAACCUAAGAUCUGCAGAACUUCCACAUGCACCUUCUGAGUUCUAGUUAGUAUGACAACCCCGCUCCUAAAGAUGCACUCCAUGUCCUUCCCAGACAGAUGUUUACAGGUUCUGUCUCCAGGGUAUACACAUACACGCUGUUCUCUGAAUCGCCAGAUCCUAAUUUUUGGCAUUUGGCUUUGUCUUUACGAAUGGGAAUCUAACAACUCUUCUUAUUGUGCAAGGCAUUCAAAGCACAGAUUCCAUCAGCUCCGAGGCCUCUCAAGAGCCUUCAUACUGCAAAGCUUCCCGGGUUCCCCUCCCCAGGAGGUAGUGAGAAACUCAUAAAGACUUGAAAAAAUUCAGCUAUAUGACAUAUAUUAAUUCAUCAUGAUGCUGCUGCUGUUGAGAGAUGCUAUUGAGUAGUCAUGCUAUAAAACUAGCAAGUGUUUUAAAGACUUGAUGAAAUUAUUUGUGUUUAGCACUUUCAUGACUUGUGCGCAAUAUCGCAGUGGCCAAAGGGGUUGGAAGAGAACUUAGACGUUGUUUCGGUGUAUUUAUUCACGUUCACCUGGGCUAAAUAUUGCCCUUGUAUCCACUCCUGACUGGCACAGGGAGCCAAACGGAUUGUCACCCAUCCCCAGUGAAGGUGGUUUUAAUUCUGAGACAAACGGGAUCACAGUGAAUUUCAAUGAACUGUCCAGACUCUUAUAUUGGAGUUUGCUGGGAUGACUGGUGUGUGGCAUGAGAGGGCUUUGGCCUGACACUUGGCCAUUGUUUCAUUAGGCAAAAAUUCUUGUUGCCAUAGUGCUCGUUGUAACAGUAUAAACUGCAUGUCACAUUAGCUGUACUAAUGAAGAUCGGGAGCAGCCAAGAGACGCCAGCUAGAGCGGACCGCAGGCUUUCUUGGAGCUCACAGUUUUUAAAUCUCCAUCUCUACCACAUCUAGAAUUUAGCCAAAAAAAAAAAAAA
rnacentral:lncRNA from 1 species